rnacentral:rRNA from 1 species
CGAACGGGUGAGUAACACGUGGGUUACCUGCCUCUAAGUUGGGGACAACAGUUGGAAACGACUGCUAAUACCGCAUGACACAUUGGGGUCGCAUGGCCUUGAUGUCAAAGAUUUAUCGCUGAAAGAUGGCCUCUACCUGUAAGCUAUCGCCUGAAGAGGGGUUUGCGUCUGAUUAGCUGGUUGGUGAGGUAACGGCCCACCAAGGCGACGAUCAGUAGCCGGACUGAGAGGUUGACCGGCCACAUUGGGACUGAGAUACGGCCCAGACUCC